AACGCGAAGAACCUUACCUGGGCUCGAAAUGUAGUGGAAUGGGGUGGAAACAUCCCCGUCUCGCAAGAGACUGCUAUAUAGGUGCUGCAUGGCUGUCGUCAGCUCGUGUCGUGAGAUGUUGGGUUAAGUCCCGCAACGAGCGCAACCCUUAUUACCUGUUGCUAACGCGUAAUGGCGAGGACUCGGGUGAAACUGCCUGGGAUAACCAGGAGGAAGGUGGGGAUGACGUCAAGUCCUCAUGGCCUUUAUGUCCAGGGCUACACACGUGCUACAAUGGUCGGUACAAACCGUCGCAAACCCGCGAGGGGGAGCUAAUCGGAAAAAGCCGGCCUCAGUUCGGAUUGGAGUCUGCAACCCGACUCCAUGAAGCUGGAAUCGCUAGUAAUCGCGGAUCAGAACGCCGCGGUGAAUACGUUCCCGGGCCUUGUA
rnacentral:rRNA from 1 species